rnacentral:rRNA from 1 species
UCGUUUACUGCGAGUCCACUAAAACCUAAAUGAUAGGUAAAUUGUUAGUCAUGAUACCAAAGACGCAAUCAUUUCAUACAUUUCUCUCCCAUUAGAACUUGGGUUUAAUUACGUUUAAGACAUUCUCCUAUAAUGACCUUUAUUAGUAGUGGAUCUUUUUACAUUCUUAGUAGAGAUUACAACACAACGACUCUGGGAUGUUUAUCACACCUGAAAUAUCUGUAGAGUAGUGGGUUACAUGUUAUACUUGCUAUAAUCGGAAACGUUAUGUAUUAUAUACAGUAAGAUGUAAAUGAAUGGAAUCCAAUCUUCAUUUAUCUAGAACUCGUAACUCAUGUAACAAUUUUCAAACAUCGUAUCUAUAAAUGUUCCAACCAAAAAGACGUCCUAGGCUCCAUUACAAACGACUAAACGAUGAGACAAUCUAGUCAAGUUGAUCAGAUAGUCAAGUCGAAUUGAAACGUACAGAACAAGAAGGUACGGAAGAUGACCCAAUGGGUCCCGUUGGACGUCAAAAACACUUCUUGAACUGACUUUUACUCUUCCAGAAGACAGAUAGGACUCAUGAUAAAGUUUAGAAUAUACAAAUAACGGUACGUUACAAAAGUGUGUAAUACUUUAUUAAAAAUUAUAAUAUCACGUGAUUCGAAGAAAAAUGAUACAGAUUGCUAAAUACGUUGUUUGAACAUUAUUAAAUGAGGUAGGUACGCCUAAAAUGGCACAAAGAGUCCUAUAUGUAUCACAACUUUAACGAUGUUCACCUAGACAAGUCAUACACGGAUAUAGUAUAUUUAACUUAAGCCAACAACUCUUGUCAACAGCCAAGUUAUAAAGAAACACGAUCCAACGGAAGAGGUAGAAAAAAAAAACUCUCAUGUCAACGGAAGAGGUAGAACUACCUGAACGUACCAUGACAAAUCAGAGGAAUGUUGGCGACUAGGGUGAUAAACUGAACCUAGACCUUUGUAUGUAUUAUAAACUUGUAUACAAUAAAACUUACUUUUCGUUACAGGAUUCAGUAGGUUAGUGACUAAACAAUAUAUAUACUAAGGAGAGAAAGUAAGCUUAAUAGUGGUGAUGGCGGUGUACUAGAAAGAUUACGGGUCAUAAAUGAUGUUCGUAUCGACUUGAACCCCAGUACUGCUAGUGAUGUUAUAACCACUGGUAGUAUUACGAAGACGAUACCGUCCGGUUGUAGUAACAGCAAUAUAUGAAAGAGUGGGGGACACGGACCUCGUUUAAAAGAAAAGAAGUCCAAACCCCUCACAUGGUCUACCAUCAACCCAAGAAAACCAUAAGCGCCGACAUGACAUAAACUGUUACAUGGACUCCUUUAUACUCUAGUUCAACUUCAUGCCUUGACUCCAAUUCGUUUUCGAAAACCACCUAAAUUACUAGAAACCAGAAAAGGACUGGUAUUACGGACGGUAAAUAAGCUACUAGAAAAAACAGACGUAGUUCACCCAGAGACAAGGACAACAAGGAGUCUUACUUUCCAAAGACAAAGCGGCCAGACGGGGGUUUCUUGAUGGUGUACAAAUCGACGUAACGAACCAUGUUCGUAUCUUUUCCGACAAAACCUUUGUCUUAUUUUCAUGUAAAGGAGACUUUUACUACAUAUGACUAGUGCGACCUAACUUUGGACUUACGUAGAUAAGUACAAACCAUGGCAAUGACGAUGUUGUUAGACAAAAAGUACAUUACGGACUAAAUGUAUACCUUAUAUGAUCACAAUCAUAGAGACUGUCGAAACAAACACUUGUACAUCCGACCCGUCCGCCAGUUGACCUCUGCUGUACCCCGUACCGAGAAACGCACCUCGAGAAAGUGAACUCAGGUCUCUAGAAAAAGAUGAUGAUAACAUGAACUCAGGAAAGCCUUAAUGAACAGUGUUUUCACCUAUUUUUACCUACAUAGAUGUUAAUUUUAUGUAAAUCUAUGUAAGUAAAGAUCCUGCUCAUUAAGGCUUGCCUCCCUCAUGAACUCAGGAGAAACCUGUGAUAGUUCUUUUGGUAAGCUAAUCUACGCCUACACAAAACAAUUGAUUACUAUGAUCACUUCAAAAGACUUGUUCUUAUGUUCUAUCUCGGGAACCAGAAUUAAGACGGUUGGAAAAGAAGAUAUGGAAACUUCAAGUAAUAUAAAAAAGGUACAAGUUAAGAAACGUCAAACCGAACAGUACAAAUUUUAAAAUUGAAAUAUUGUGUUACCUACAACGGGACGGACACUUUGAUGCUAAUAUGAACAUACCG